GCCUUCGUGGUGUAAUGGUAGCACACUUGGCGCAUAUUCAAAUGAUCUAGGUUCGAGUCUUGCCAAAGGCU
rnacentral:tRNA from 1 species